UACGAAGGGGGCUAGCGUUGCUCGGAAUCACUGGGCGUAAAGGGCGCGUAGGCGGCCAUUCAAGUCGGGGGUGAAAGCCUGUGGCUCAAUCACAGAAUUGCCUUCGAUACUGUUUGGCUUGAGACCGGAAGAGGUGAGUGGAACUGCGAGUGUAGAGGUGAAAUGCGCAGAUAUCAGGAGGAACACCGAUUGCGAAGGCAGCUCGCUGGGACGUAACUGACGCUGAGACGCGAAAGCGUGGGGAGCGAACAGG
rnacentral:rRNA from 1 species